CAUAAGGUAGACUGUCUGGCUGCCCUUCUGGCACAGCAGAUACAAGCACAGGCAGGGGCACAGAAUCCCCAGCGGGCCUCCACAUCGAGCGAGUGUUUUUUGUCAGAACCACAGCGAGUUGAGAUUGCUUGGGCCGCGGUGGCGCACAUGAAGGUUUAAAUCGAGGCGCGCACAAUCAGUCAGUGCUAAUCCAUCGUAUAGUGAACGUUGUAAAUAUAAAUAUCAAUAUCAAUUCCAGUGAAGUGCGUUUUUGCUUUGUUUGCAUCGUUACUAUGAUUUCGGUUGGGAAGUUAGUAUAAUCUACGAUGUUUAUAAUACAUGCUAUGUGUGAUAUUGUGAAUUAUAUGUUAGUUUUGUGUGGUUUAUAGGUUAUGAACAUGUGAAAAUUUAAUUCGUUCAUGUUUCCGUGACUAAUUUUGAUUAAUUUUUUCUAGAAACAAACAGAAGAGACAGGCGAAGGCCACGCCAGCCCAAAUCGAUUAUAUGGUUGAUUAUUUUAUCUAGCAUCCGCACAUCGCAACAGGGAAAUUUCAAUCUCUCCAUGGAAAAUCGGAUUUGGCCGCGUCGUGGGAGCAACUCGUGGAGGAACUGAACAAGAUGGGAAAAGAUGAGAGAGGGAAAGACGUAAAAUCAUGGAAAUCAACGUGGUGAGACAACAAGACCACUGUGUCGCAAAAAGUAGCGAAAAUUCGAGCAAAUCGUUCGAGGACAAGGAAUAUUGGUGGCCCUUGAGUAAAACCGACCGAACGAGAGGAAAAAAUUAUGGGCAUUAUGGGCUUCGAUUACGUGGAAGGAGUGGAAUGCCCUGAUGCCUUUCCCGAAGAACAGUUAAACGCCAUAGAGCUACUGGCAGAAGGAGACGAGAGCAUACUCGAUGAGGAUGGCAGCAUCUUAACUUUGCAAGACUACGUCGAGGCCGGUGCUCUCGAUUACAC